GCGCAUUAGCUAGUUGGUGAGGUAACGGCUCACCAAGGCGACGAUGCGUAGCCGACCUGAGAGGGUGAUCGGCCACACUGGGACUGAGACACGGCCCAGACUCCUACGGGAGGCAGCAGUAGGGAAUCUUCCGCAAUGGACGAAAGUCUGACGGAGCAACGCCGCGUGAGUGAUGAAGGUUUUCGGAUCGUAAAGCUCUGUUGUUAGGGAAGAACAAGUGCCGUUCAAAUAGGGCGGCACCUUGACGGUACCUAACCAGAAAGCCACGGCUAACUACGUGCCAGCAGCCGCGGUAAUACGUAGGUGGCAAGCGUUGUCCGGAAUUAUUGGGCGUAAAGGGCUCGCAGGCGGUUUCUUAAGUCUGAUGUGAAAGCCCCCGGCUCAACCGGGGAGGGUCAUUGGAAACUGGGGAACAUUGAGUGCAGAA
rnacentral:rRNA from 1 species